rnacentral:rRNA from 1 species
AUUGAACGCUGGCGGCAGGCCUAACACAUGCAAGUCGAACGGUAACAGGAAGCAGCUUUCUGCUUUGCUGACGAGUGGCGGACGGGUGAGUAAUGUCUGGGAAACUGCCCGAUGGAGGGGGAUAACUACUGGAAACGGUAGCUAAUACCGCAUAACGUCGCAAGACCAAAGAGGGGGACCUUAGGGCCUCUUGCCAUCGGAUGUGCCCAGAUGGGAUUAGCUAGUAGGUGGGGUAACGGCUCACCUAGGCGACGAUCCCUAGCUGGUCUGAGAGGAUGACCAGCCACACUGGAACUGAGACACGGUCCAGACUCCUACGGGAGGCAGCAGUGGGGAAUAUUGCACAAUGGGCGCAAGCCUGAUGCAGCCAUGCCGCGUGGAUGAAGAAGGCCUUCGGGUUGUAAAGUACUUUCAGCGGGGAGGAAGGGAGUAAAGUUAAUACCUUUGCGUAUUGACGGUACCCGCAGAAGAAGCACCGGCUAACUCCGUG